CCUGUCUCUACUAAAAAUACAAAAAUUAGCCAGGUUUGGUGGUGUGCACCUGUAGUCCCAGCUACUCAGGAGGCUGAGGCAGGAGAAUUGAUUGAAUUAAAAACAUAUGGUAUAUGUUUAAUGUAACAUAAUAUAAACAGAUGUUUGUGUGUUUUUCUCUUAUGCAUGUCUUUUGUUAUACGGGCCUCAGCCAGGAACCUAGUGAUGGAUGAAGAAGAGAUACCUCUUUUACCCUAUAACAUUGAUGGAAGCAAGAAAUGAGGUCAGUCCAAAGGUGAACUAAGAAGGCACAAAAAGGGUUAUAUAAAUGUCAGCCUCUGCCAUUUCCCUGCGAGGGCCUCCUUCUGCAGUCUUGGGACAAAGGAGGAGGAAGAGAAACAAAAAGCGGAAGAGGAAGAAAAGAAAACUGUAAGAGGAUCUUGUGUUAACCUAGGAGUUAUCUAGCGCUUUCUGGAAUCCGCGCAGUCAGUAGGAGCCAGCAAUCUCCCACAGGACGUUUUCUAAAGUUUAAGUUACUAUGUCAAAGCAGCAUCAUGAAACCUGCAGCCAGAGAGCCGAAGGUCGGCUUUGCCACCCUUUCAACCACCUCAAGUUUUUCCUGCCAGUGUGAGAAAGAAGGCCCAAAGAGAAGGUCCUCCUAGAAAGCAGAAAGCUUUCCCCCUACCUUCCACCAUGCCCACUGUCACAAGGAUUUGCUGGGGCAAGUGUUUACUCAUCUCGUAGGGAAUCCACUCCUUUCUGCACAGGUAUAAAUCCGUCUGUGACCAAGGAGUUGAUUCAAAUCCUGGUGUGUGAGGAGAGAAUCUUCCAGUAUUUGAGGACAAGAGAAGCCAAAUUUUAUGGUGAUUUACAUGUAGCAAUUGAAGACCAGCAAGGGAGAAGACUUAUUUUUCUGUUUUUGGUGUGUGUAACUUAUUUCCAUUUAUACUGUUUUGAAGACGGGUUGGGAGGAGGAGAGUGAAGAAUUAAAAGCCCUGUGUUAGAGGAAUCUGUAUGUGCAGUUUCCUUAUUACCUGUAUGUGUCAUCCUCAGGGAUGCUGCAUGGCCUGGUGAAAGAACACAGGCUUUGGAACU
rnacentral:lncRNA from 13 species